GUGCCAGCAGCCGCGGUAAUACGUAGGCAGCAAGCGUUGUUCGGAGUUACUGGGCGUAAAGGGUGUGUAGGCGGCCUUCUAAGUUUGGUGUGAAAUCUCCCGGCUCAACCGGGAGGGUGCGCCGAAGACUGGGGGGCUAGAGUGCGGGAUGGGAGAGUAGAAUUCCUGGUGUAGCGGUGAAAUGCGUAGAUAUCAGGAGGAAUACCUGUGGUGUAGACGGCUCUCUGGACCGCAACUGACGCUGAGACACGAAAGCGUGGGUAGCAAACAGGAUUAGAUACCCUGGUAGUCC
rnacentral:rRNA from 1 species